AUCUCAUUUUCUUCACCAGUGAUGCUUUCCCUGAAAGAUUCACUUAUGGGUUUUUUUUCCUUUCCUUCAGCUCUAAUUAAAGCUUAAUUUCCCAUAACAACAAUAAGAGUUCCCAGAAUUGCAUCAUCUUAGUUGUGAGGUAAAUAUUGAUUGCUGUUCAUAUCCACACCACACUCUUAUAACUGCAUUAAAUAUACAGAGAAUGGUCACAUCUAACAUCCAUUCCUUGACUGGAGGCUGCUGCUGCCAGUGUUUAAUUGGAUUAAACGCUUCCUCAUCUCUUCUUUGAUCAGGGUCUCUGAGUUAAAUCCAGUAACUCCUCAUGGGGUCCCUGGAGCCUUCCCUCACCUGGAGCCCUCUGGUUAUUUUGGACUACAACUCCCAGCAGCCCCAAUAAGCCAGCAUGGUUGUGGGUUCAGGACAGUAUCCAACUAAAUUUUAUUUAUUUUUAUUCAUUAAAUGUGUAUAAACUGCACUUUCAUAUAAAGUGUCACAUGGCGGCGCGGCUUUUUUUCCAGCCGGAACUCAGUUCCGGUACCUCUCAGGUGGGCACUAUUGCCAUUAUAAGAGAACAAGAACUCAACUGUCCUGCUUUAAAUGAGAGAUCACAUCUUAAAGAAUCCGCCCCGGCUUCUGAUUGGAUCUGGGAGUGUCCCAGGAUCCAUGCGUUCUCUCUUGAGCAGCUAAGGAGGCCUGCCUAUGUGGUGCUGCUCUGCCCAGAAAAGGCCUGCCCAUGUAGCACUGUGGCGCUCCGAGAAGGCCUGUCCUCACAGUGCUGGCCGAUGGAGGCAGCAGCAAUGAAGAGAGAGUAAGAGGCAGCUUCAGUUCUGACUGUGGGCUUCACUGUUGUUCUCCUUUGGACUGUCCUUAACACAAUCAAUAAAAACAGGAAUGAAAACAAUUUCAAGAAGGCCUCCUCAACAUGGAACAGCCCAGCCAGAGAAGGAGAGCCUUAAGUAAUUGACUGACAAAGUGAGUGAAAUUCAGGUGCCCAGAAACAAGGUUUCCAUUUUGGAAGAAGUGGGAGCACAGGAAAUGACUCUUCUGCCAUGAAAACAUCCAAGUCUUUUCCCUUUCGUGCCUUGGCCUGAGAAUGGUGCCAAAUGAGGAGUGGCUAUUAAAUGGAUCUAAAUGCUGGGGCAUGCUUUCUCGGAUGGCAAUUUCACCGCACCAUAUGUGUCUCUCACAAGAUAGCAGAGUGAAAUGAGUCUUGGCAGGAAGAGAACUAAACAUAUCGACA